rnacentral:rRNA from 1 species
GCGUGGAGACAGGUGGUGCAUGGCUGUCGUCAGCUCGUGUCGUGAGAUGUUGGGUUAAGUCCCGCAACGAGCGCAACCCUCACCCCUUGUUGCCAUCAGGUAAUGCUGGGCACUCUAGGGGAACUGCCCCGGUCAACGGGGAGGAAGGCGGGGAUGACGUCAAGUCAUCAUGCCCCUUACGCCCUGGGCUACACACGUGCUACAAUGGCCGGUACAAAGGGAUGCGAGACCGCGAGGUGGAGCCAAACCCAAAAAACCGGUCUAAGUUCAGAUUGGAGUCUGCAACUCGACUCCAUGAAGGAGGAAUCGCUAGUAAUCGCGUAUCAGAACGACGCGGUGAAUACGUUCCCGGGCCUUGUACACACCGCCCGUCACACCACGAAAGUCAGCUGUACUCGAAGUCGCUGAG